rnacentral:rRNA from 1 species
AAAUGAAUUGACGGGGGCCCGCACAAGCGGUGGAGCAUGUGGAUUAAUUCGAAGCAACGCGAAGAACCUUACCAAGGCUUGACAUGGAGACGAAAGGCAUAGAGAUAUGCCCUCCCUUCGGGGCGGCUCACACAGGUGGUGCAUGGUUGUCGUCAGCUCGUGUCGUGAGAUGUUGGGUUAAGUCCCGCAACGAGCGCAACCCUUAUGUUUAGUAGCCAGCGGGUAAAGCCGGGCACACUAGAGAUACUGCCGUGGAUAACACGGAGGAAGGCGGGGAUGAGGUCAAAUCAUCAUGCCCCUUAUGUCUUGGGCGUCACACGUGCUACAAUGGACCGAACAAAGUGAAGCAAGGCAGCGAUGCGGAGCAAAACACAAAAACGGUCCUCAGUUCGGAUUGCAGGCUGCAACCCGCCUGCAUGAAGUUGGAAUCGCUAGUAAUCGCGAAUCAGCAUGUCGCGGUGAAUACGUUCCCGGGCCUUGUACACACCGCCCGU